AGGAUGAACGCUAGCGGCAGGCCUAAUACAUGCAAGUCGAACGAGAUUGAAGAGCUUGCUUUUCAUGAAAGUGGCGCACGGGUGCGUAACGCGUAUGCAACCUACCUUAAUCAGGGGGAGUAGCCUCUCGAAAGAGAGAUUAACACCGCAUAAAAUACACAAGCUGGCAUCAGCAAAUGAUCAAAUAUUUAUAGGAUUAAGAUGGCAUGCGUGACAUUAGUUAGUUGGUGAGGUAAUGGCUCACCAAGACGAUGAUGUCUAGGGGAUCUGAGAGGAUGACCCCCACACUGGUACUGAGACACGGACCAGACUCCUACGGGAGGCAGCAGUAAGGAAUAUUGGUCAAUGGAGGCAACUCUGAAACCAGCCAUGCCGCGUGCAGGAAGAACGGCCCUACGGGUUGAAACUGCUUUAUACGGGAAUAAAACCUCUUUACGUGUAAAAGAGUUGAAUGUAUAGUAAGAAAUAAAGGAAUCGGACUAAACUCCGU
rnacentral:rRNA from 1 species